AACGCGAAGAACCUUACCUGGGCUCGAAAUGCACAGGAAUCCGGCAGAAACGUCGGCGUCCAGCAAUGGACCUGUGUAUAGGUGCUGCAUGGCUGUCGUCAGCUCGUGUCGUGAGAUGUUGGGUUAAGUCCCGCAACGAGCGCAACCCUUAUCUCCAGUUGCUACCAUUUAGUUGAGCACUCUGGCGAAACCGCCUCGGAUAACGGGGAGGAAGGUGGGGAUGACGUCAAGUCCUCAUGGCCUUUAUGUCCAGGGCUACACACGUGCUACAAUGGCCGGUACAAACCGCUGCAAACCCGCGAGGGGGAGCUAAUCGGAAAAAGCCGGCCUCAGUUCGGAUUGGAGUCUGCAACUCGACUCCAUGAAGCUGGAAUCGCUAGUAAUGGCGUGUCAGCAACAACGCCGUGAAUACGUUCCCGGGCCUUGUACACACCGAGACGAC
rnacentral:rRNA from 1 species